CUACCACUCCCUCUGCCUCAGGCCUCCGGGCGUGAGGCCUGAGAGUCAGGCCGGAUCUGAAAGAAGGCCGCUUCUCCGGGUUUUACUAGCAACUUGAGGAAGAGUAAGGAAAGUGCUGGGGAGGCUGUCAGCUACAACCAGUCGGCUUCAGUUUCUCUUGUUCACAGGGUACUUCGUGCAGAGGCCUCGCACCUGGCACUUCAGAUCAGAGUGCUUAGUGAGAAAUGGCUGCAUUGACACCUCAGCUUGGUGGGCCGGGCUGUGUGUGGAAGUGCUUCCCCUGACACUCGUAAUUUAAAAAAACUAUGUGGCUUCCCUGGUGGCGCAGUGAUUGAGAGUCUGCCUGCCGAUGCAGGGGACGCGGGUUCGUGCCCCGGUCCGGGAAGAUCCCACAUGCCGUGGAGCGGCUGGGCCCGUGAGCCAUGGCUGCUGGGCCUGCGCGUCCGGAGCCUGUGCUGCGCAACGGGAGAGGCCACAGCAGUGAGAGGCCCGAGUACCGCACAAAAACCCAAAAAACAACAACAACAAAAACUAUGAAAUCAACAUCUCCAAGGAGCUGCAUACUGACCUACGAACAUGCAACAGCAGUCCUGCUGCUUUGCUUCUCUAAUGCAAUAGACAAACAUCUAAUCUGGUUACUUCACAGAGCUAAUGUCUUAUUUUGAAUUUGAGUGAUUUCUGUCUGAUGUCACAUGGAAGAAAAUGUAAUUUUUGCCCGUCUUUUAGCAGCAGAUAAUUUGUUGAUUUUGUUGCUCAAUGGCUUAUCUUUAGAAGGAAUUUUGAAAUUGCACCUUGAGACGUACCAUUUUGCAUAUGAGAUAGUUGAGACUAUUUACUGGUAGCUUUUUUAGGCAGAAGCAUAUAACUAGAUGAAAAUUUAAUCAGUUGUUUGUCCUCCCUGAUCUCAAUCACUGGUUUUAACGGAAGUAUCUAGUUGCUUAGGCAUCUUGGAGAACAGUUUGGGAAUGAAGAAAUUAUUUCUAAUUCAAUCUCUCUGUUACCUUUCUGGACUCAGUUUUCGCAGUACACACACAUGCAUAUACACACACGCAAAAUGAAAUAACAGGGAAAUUUCAAUCCAUUUUAAAGAAAAAUAAAAAGCAAGGAUGAAAUAUUAUUAAAACUCUCUCUUUUUCUGUUUGAAUAAUAUGCUACAUCGAGGGUGAAGCUUAACUGGUAGCUUGAAGGUGGGUGACCUCCAAUAUGACAGUGCUUUAUUGCAGGGGUCCCCAGCCCCCGGGCCAUGGACCGGUACCUGUCUUUGGCCUGUUAGGAACUGGGACACACAGCAAGAGGUGAGUAAUGGGUGAGUGAGUGAAGCUUCAUCUGAAUUUACAGCCGUUCCCCAUUGCUCGCAGUACCGCCUGAGCUCUGCCUCUUGUCAGAUCAGUGGUGGCAUUAGAUUCUCAUAAGAGCUCAAACUGUACUGUGAACUGGCGUGCGAGGGAUCUAGGCUGUGCGCUUCUUAUGAGAAUCUAAUGCCUGAUGAUCUGAGGUGGAGCUGAGGCGGUGAUGCUAGCGCUGGGGAGUGGCUGCAAAUACAGAUUAUCAUUAGCAGAGAGGUUUGACUGCACAGAGACCAUAAUAAAUCAAUUGCUUGCAGACUCACAUCAAAACCCUAUCAGUGAGUGGCAAGUGACAAUUAAGCUGCGUCUGGUGGCAGGCUUUAUAGUGGCAAGUAAGUUGAUGUAUUUCAAUUGUACAGCUGCAUCUGGUGGCAGGCUUUAAGUCAGAAUCCCACACUUAUUUUAGUCCACAUGUGACCCGCGCAUUAUUUUAUUUACCACUCCCGUCCGCACCUCUUUCCCACACUGCGCACUUGUCUCAGUCACAGUUUUGGUAAUCCCACAAGCUAACCCUAGCGAAGAUGAGUGUCUGCACUGAGAGCAUCAUUCUUAGUGGCUAACCACAUUGCUAAAGCUAAGAAGCCCUUUACUAUUGGUGAAGAGUUGAUCCUGCCUGCUGCUAAGGACAUUUGUUGUGAACUUUCAGGAGAGGCUGCAGUUCAAAAGGUGGCACAUGUUCCUCUCUCACAUAGCACCAUAACUAAACAAGUUGAUGAAAUAGCAGAGGAUAUUGAGGCACAAUUAUUAGAGAGGAUUAAUGUGUCACCGUGGUAUGCAAUCCAGGUUGACGAGUCUACCGAUGUUGACAACAAGGCAACAAUGCUUGUUUUUGUGUGAUAUAUUUUUCAGGAGUAUGUGCAUGAGGAUAUGUUACGUGCACUUCUGUCGCCAACCAACACCACAGCUACAGAACUAUUCAAGUCUUUGAAUGAUUCCAUAUCAGGAAAACCGAACUGGUCGUUUUGUGUCGGUAUAUACACAGACGGAGCGGCUACAUGACUGGACAGCUUUCUGAUUUCACUGCUCGGGUCAAAGAGGUCGCUUCUGAAUGUGAGUCUACACACUGUGUCAUCCAUAGAGAAAUGCUGGCUAGCCGAAAAAUGACACCUGAACUUAACAGUGUUUUGCAGGAUGUGAUUAAAAUUAUCAACCACAUUAAAGUACAUGCCCUUAACUCACAUCUGUUUGUGCAGCUCUGUGAGGAGAUGGACACAGAUCACACAUGUCUUCUCUUAUACACAGAAGUGAGAUGGCUUUCUAAAGGCAGAUCACUGGCCAGAGUUUUUGAGUUACGAGAGCUGCUCCAAAGAUUUAUUUUAGAAAAAGUCACCACCGGCAGCACAUUUCAGUGACACAGAAUGGGUUGCAAAACUUGCUUACUUGGACUUCCCUGGUGGUGCGGUGGUUAAGAAUCUACCUGCCAAUCCAGGCGACACAGGUUCGAUCCUUGGUCCAGGAAGAUCCCACAUAUCACAGAGCAACUAAGCCCGUAUGCCACAACUACUGAGCUUGCACUCUAGAGCCCUCAAACCACAACUGCUGAGCCCGCAAGCCACAACUACUAAAGCCCUCGUGCCUAGAGCCUGUGCUCUGGAACAAGAGAAGCCAUAGCAAUGAGAAGCCCGCAGACCACAAUGAAGGGUAGCCCCCGCUCGCCGCAACUAGAGAAAGCCUGCGUGCAGCAACCAAGACCUAAUGCAGCCGAAAAAAUUAAAAUUAAAAAAAAUAAAAUAAAAAACGUGCUUACUUGUGUGACCUAUUCAACCGGCUCAAUGAACUAGCUGCAUUCAAAGCCAAACUGGAAUUAUGGGGGCGACGAGUGAACACUGGGAUAUUUGACAUUUCAAACAUUUGCAGAGAUUUUGAAAGGGACUGAGCCAGGGCCUUCUUUCUCCUAGCUGGUGCAUGAUCACCUGUCUCAGCUUUCAAAGGAGUUUGAGGAUUACUUCCCAACCGCAAAAGACCCCAGAACUGGGAAGGAAUGGAUCCGCAAUCCAUUUCUGAAUAAGCCAGGUGAAGCAACUUUGUCCAUGCCAUAAGAGGAUCAACUGCUUGAGAUCACAAAUGACGGUGGCCUUAAAAGUAUGUGUGAGACAACUUCAAAUCUCCAUGUGUUCUGGAUUAAAGUCAAGGUGGAAUAUCCUGAGAUUGCCACAAAAGCACUGAAAAGCCUGCCUCCAUUUCCAACAUCCUGUCUUUGUGAAGCAGGGUUUUCUGCAGUGACAGCAACCAGAACAAGAUUACGGAGUAGACUGGACCUAAGCAACACACUUCGGGUGUCACUGUCUCCCAUCACCCCCAGAUGGGACCAUCUAGUUGCAGGAAAACAAGCUCAGGGCUCCCACUGAUUCUGCAUUAUGGCAGCAUGAUGUAGUGGAAAGAAUACGAGAUUCUGGAAUUAGAAAAACUGGGCAUGAGUCCCAGACUCUGCACUAUCAGCUGUGUGACCUUGGAUAAAUCAGAGGCUCAGAGAGAUUAAAGAAUAUCUCAAAGGCUGCACAACUAGUAAACAGAAGACCUGGGAUUCAAAACCAGGUGUACAGCCAUUUCUCAGCCAUAAAAAAAGAACGAAAUAACGCCAUUUGCAGCAACAUGGAUGGACCUGGAGAUUAUCAUACUGAGUGAAAGAGUAUCUCCAAUAUGAGAGAUGCUGUGCUAGACAUGACCCGGGCCAUACAUCCUAUGGAGGAGUAUCACUUAAUAUUGUCCAGCAACUCAAGAACCAGGAGGUUGACUAUCAUUAGUGCAGAGGUUGAAUAAGUCAUGCUUCAAGACGCCAUAGCCUGAGGCAGCACCAACACCUGUGAACAAGGUGGAGACCAUCUCUGGAAGCUCUGGGUCUUGCCUCUGGAUGGAGGUUUACAUUGCGCUAGAAGCGAAGUGCCCAGGGAAUUGUGUUGGCGUCUCAGAUAAAAACCUGUGGGCUGGGAGCUGUCCUUGAAAAAUGUGAUGCUUUCCUCUUUGAAAAGAACAAAAGAAUAAAGGAUGAAUUUUAAUCUCUAUUUUGCCUUACCUUUGCUGCAGUUUGAAAACCCCAAACCUCUGAAGUGUUAAGUAAAUUAACCCAUGUCUGUGCAGCUUCCAUCAGUGAAUGCGAUAGUUUAAGAAUAGUCAUUCUUUGGCGAACAAACUGCUUUUGUCUGUGCCACUCAGUUUAAGGGAAAACUACUUUUGGACUCCUAUCCAAGCUCUUCAUACUCUAAAUGAUUUCUGCUGUCCCUCUAAUUAUCAGCCAGGAUGCUUAUGUGUAAUCACCAGCUUUCAGUAAUUUAAAUAGGUAGUUUUUCAGCCAACUAUUUUUAUUCAAAAUGGGACAAAAGCUAAAAUUGCAUGUUGAAUUUUAUCCAGAAGCUGUCUUCUUUUAGUUCGUGCCAACUGAUGCAGAGCAAUUGUUCAUUUUCUUAUGACAUGUCAGAAGCACAUUUUUACUUUAUGAAUCUAACCAACAAUCCAAUGCGAAGUCUACAAUUUAUGUCUCAGUUCAGUUGCUUACCAGAACCAGCAGGCAGGGCAUUUUAAGAUUUAAUUCAGCGUACCGAAUCGUCAAACGUAACCACACCCAAGCUCUGUUAUUUUUCAGAGACUUUAAAUAUUAGCUUUUCACUGUCCAUUUGAAUUUCAACGAGGAUCAUCUUGGUAGUUACAUUUUUCACCAAUUAUAAUAAAGAUCAUUUUGAAUAAUUUGUCAACAUGAAUAACAUUACUACUUACUAUUUCUGUAAGGACCCUAAAAGUCUUUGGUCUAAACUUUCUUUUAUACUUUGUGUACAAAGUGGACUCAUUUCUUAAUCUCGAAAGGAACUGAAUCAGACAGAAUCCAGAUGCCUUAAGAAAAAAAAAGUCUCUUGUUUCAAACUUUCUUUUUUGGUCCAAUAAUGUUUGCCCUCUGGGCCAGCAAAAGAGGUCAUUCUGAAAAGUCCCGAAGCAAUUGCAAAAUUGAGAAGCGAGGUUAAAGGUCUUCUGUUCUGUGAAAUUUGCUGUAUUUUGCCAAGUCCCUGGUUUUGUAUUGAAAAAGUUUCAGAGAAAGCUGUGUUUUCCUUUGUCUGGGUCCUUGUUCAGAACACGUCUAUGAAGUGGGUAAUUGCUAUUAGCAAAUGCAAAUAGAAACAGUUGCCCCAAUGCAGUUCAGUGGUCCUUUUGCCAGUUCCCAGGAGGCCCCUCUACCCACUUCCCUACUGUGGUAUUUCCAAGUCUUCAUCCCUCUCUUCAAAUCCUCCCCCGAACUCCCUACUCACCAUCAGCAGGUUACCUUGGCUGUUACCUCACAGAGGAAAUAGACUCUAUUUACAGUAACUCCUUCAAGUCCCUUCCACUGAACAAAGACGCCUACCUCUGCAGUCUCAGGAGUGAGGCUGGGGAGAAGGGCAAGGAGACUCCCCUGGUUUUCCAAGACCCAUCCCUCCACCUCGCUCCUGUCUCCUCGGGGCUCUUGCUCCGUCCUGGUCUCUUCUCUCUCAUGUAUCUUCACUCUCCGACUCGUCACUGACUCGAUUCUCUCAGCAUAUAAACCUGACACAAUCUCUCCCAGAGUAUUUACUUAGGGUCCAUGAGAGUCCAAGCGACAGCUCCCAGCUCCCUCCUGAACACAGAGGCCACAGGUGGCUCCUGUGACAGAAGCUGCCAUGCCUUCAGUUCUGUGGCCCUGCCACCCUGGCCUCAGGGGACUGCAUUAUGAUGGGGGCUAUAGCCAAAGGCAGCUCUGAUGUGAGAGCCAAUACUACAUGGUGUCUGUGUCCUGUCUGAAUUCCUGUUUGCAAGCAAUAGAAAAUGAUUCUGCCUGAUUUAACCUCAGCAGGAUGCUCACUGGAAGGAUGUCCAUGACUCACAUAUCUAUAGGGGCCUAGAGGACCUGGGUUAGAAAAGAGGCAAAAGCCAAGGUGCUCUGAAGAGCUCUGCUGUGAGGAGGACAGCAAGUUACCCAGGAAGAGCAGUGUGUUCACUCAGCAGCUUCUGCUGCUGCUCCUUUGCGGGGGUGGUCUGCAGCUGUGCCUACCUUUUUCUGACUGGUUUAGGCCGAGGACAGGCUUGCUCCUGGCCUAACUGCACUGGGUGGGGAGAGGGUGCAUUGGCUCAUUGGCUACCGUUUGGGAAGUGGGUUCCAUCCCUACAGCUACACGCGGUAGGAGAUUUCCCCCAAAAGGAGAUUGGAUUGCUCCCAGGAGUCUGGUGCUGGACAGCCAAAACCAACAACUGGGGACUAUAGAUGGUUCUCCAACACAGUUGUUACCGAGUCCAAGCUUGAACUGCUCGCUGCAUAACAGGCCAAUAAACUGAGAGAUGACGUCAUUGGGGCAAAAGGACUAGGACUUUAUUCGGAAAAUAAAGACUGAGAAGAUGGUGGACUGGUGUCCCAAAGAACCGCCUUACUCGAGUUGGGAUUCAGGCUUCUUUUAUACUAAAAGGGGUGGGAGUGUGGCUGUUUGCUACAAACUUCUUGGUGCCAGAAUCCUUUGUUCUUGCAGCUGUCCACGUAGGUCUGGUCAUAGUGUUUCUAUAAACCUCCAACAAGACAAAUGCUAUUUUCUGUUCUGCAAUUUUUUUCUCUAUGAAUGGAAAAGUGUUAUACCUUUAAGGGUCAGAGCCCUGAAAAUGGGCUAUGCUGUAUAUUUCAGGCUAGAGGCAACAUUCUUUUACAAAGGUGCAGAGCCAGCUAAGCACAGGCAACAGAGCACAGAGGUUACAGCUAAAGGAAUAGAUCCAAUAUGGAGUCACGUUUGUUCUUUUCUGUUACACAAUGACAUGCUCUCCUGAAGAGCAUGAAUAGGAGACGCACAUAACAGAGAAGCAGAAAGCAGUAGAAAGAGAGAAGCAAUAGCAGAGAGAAGCAAAGAUGAGAUAGACUCGAAGAGCUGGUGGGGCAUAGAGAAGCCGUCUCAUGAAAAUGGUAGACUCACGAGAGUAGAUGGGAUAGAUUGGUGUCCACUCUCAGGAGGUGGUGAGACAACUGGUGACCAUAGGUCCUGGGUUGCUUGGGACACUGGAACUGGCUUGAUUCUGGAAAAGCGUGUCGUGUUUCCUAGUUCUUAGGCUUUGGAGUCAGAGAAUCAUGGGUGUCCCUGAGAUUCAAAUCCCAGCUUCACCACUGGGUGACCUUGGACAUGUUUUUUAACCACUGUAUCCUCACUUUCCUCAUUGGUAAAAAUUGUACCUACGUCAUUUAGUUGAAAUAACAAUAAAAUGACAAUUCAUAUAAUGACAAUGCAUAGGCUUAGCAUAGUUCAUGGUACAUUAUAUGUUAGCUGUUGUUAUUACUAUUUUAUAUCUCCCAUGAGUUUUCAAAUGCAAUUCUAUUCCUAUAUCUUCAUAGGAAAUUCCAACUUACCUUUCAAGAUCCAGCUCAGAUGUUACCUUCUCUGCAAAUCCAUCCAUGAAUUUUCCCCUUGCCCCACGUGGAACUAAUAAUUCAGGUCAACACUUAUUGUAUGACUUCUAUAUGCAAGAUAUAGUAUUUUUCUAGAUGCUAGAAAUAUCAAAGAUGUCAAAGACAUAGUCUGGUUGCUCAACAUCCUAUAAUCUAAAGGGAGAAACAAAGAAGUAAACACACAAUUUUAAUAUUGAUAUAUUCCAGUAAAAACCAUGAUAGCACUUUGCUUUGCAUUUUCUUCCACUUAAAUCAUAUGUCUAUUGCAGCAAUUUUGCCAUUGUAAUCUAGUUAUUUGCAUGUCUACCUCUCUUAGUAGGCUAUGUACUUUUUAAGCUCAAGAAUAUAUCUUUUUCAUCUUUUUAUCCCUAGAAUAUUAGGCACUCAAUAUGUUUGUUGAAUAAAGUAUGAUUCCAUUAUGUUUUCACCAAAAAACUUAAUUAUUGAUUUUCAGAGAUGUCAUUCCCAAUGCGUAAUUACUAUUUAAGAGUAACAGUUUUAUUCUGAAAUUCCACAAGUUACUUCCUUACCAAAAAUGAAGGUUCAGUCACUGUUCAAUGUAUCACUUCUAAUCUGGUUGAAAUUUGAAUGAGGGGAGGGAAAUGUGUCUGGGGAUUACUAGGUUGAAGCUUGGGAUAAAGCACACAUUCCAAGAUAAAGCUCCGGGUUCGGGGAGCCAUGAGGGGGAGAAGUAGGGCCAGAGGAGCAGGUGAGACAGAGAUGGAGCUGGAGAGACAUAUGAUGGGUGGGAGUAGUCCAGGGAGGAGGAGGGGGGAAGGGGAGGACACUCGGAGGCGUCCACCAUGUGUGAGGGGGAAGAGAGUCCAGUGUGAAUGGAGCAGAACAAGGGACAGAGCAGAGGCUAGAAAGGCAAUGAGGAAGAGGGAGAAAGAUUUUGAUAAUUUAUUUAUUUGGGGAGUCUUGUGAAACAUUGGUACAUCUAACAAAUGCUUGGCAAAGGUUGGAUGAAUUAUGUAAUUGUAACAAGGAGGGAUGAAUGGGAGUGUCAGAAUAGUGGUCGCUGGUGUCAGGUGGGAGAGUCAUCAUCCCAGCUCCAGGUGAGGCAGGAUGAGUGGAAUAGACAAGGGACAAGGACCCAAGAAGUAGGGCUCGAUCUGAAUUGUGUCAUCCCUUGCCUAUGUGAGACCCAUACCAAAAAUACGUGUGGCUCCCCCAGUCACUCACGGGAUCAUUCAUUCACCCAUUUAAAAUGUCACUUUCUCUGCUUUUGACUAGUUGGAUCCAUUUUGUCAAUGACAAUUUCUUUCAUCUCUGGGUCUCUGGGUCUUUUUAAGUACAAUUUGUGUUCAUGGCCGAACACUGUUUGAAAACAUAAUAAAGCAUUAUGAGAAUGCCAAAUAACCAGAUUAUUUUUUGCUUAUGUGACUUAGACUUGGCAAUUUUACAAUUUUGUUUUAUCAUCUUUGGCUGAUUACCUUGAUUAAUCAAGCCAAACAGAAACAGAUCCCAUUUUAGGUGGGAGCAGAACAUGGGUGAGUGGACUUUGCCAAGGAGAGCUGACAAUCUUUUAGAGCUGGAAAUAACAUUGCUCAAUUUCAUCAUUUUGCAAAUGUGGAAACUGAACUUAAAGAGGCCAAAUGACUUGCCAAGGCCAUGAUGUAGGAAUAGCAAUAGGAGGCCAUAUUUCCUCCCCUUAGUUAAAUCAUUAUAGAAUCAUUGAUAUCUGGUAGAGACAGUUGAAAAACUCUAGCACUGGGUAAGUGGAGGAGGAAUUUUUUAAAACUUUAAAUCAGAUUUUAUUUACCUGUUCUUCAUGUAUAAUCUCCAUUCCAAGCAAUAUAGGGCCUAUUUUGAGGAUCAGUGAGGAAUUUGAGGAGGACAAUGAAAUGAUCAGAUUUAUACUUUAGGAAGUUAUUCUAGCAGGAGUAUUCUUCAGUACUAUAAGUGACUUAAAACACUGUAUCUAU